GGCGCCGUCACUUGGGCCACCGAGAUGUCGAAGCCCAUGGCCCGCAGCUUCCGCACGAAGUUCUCCCGGGUCGCCUGGGUUUCAUUGGUGCAGAGCUGCAGCUUCAGCCCAGAGGCUUUGAUCCUGUGGAGGGAAGGCAGCAGAGGGGUUAACUAGAUGAAGGAAAUGAGACAAGAGUGUCAACAUAAUGAAUCCAGGGACAACACCAACCACAAACCUGCACAGACAAACCAGCACCCUACAGGUCAGCUCAGUGAAAACACAGAUUCAGCUUUCCUGUACUACAAACUUCACUUCUUUCUCAGUAUUUUGGAUGGAAACCAGAGUGACACUUCUGAAAGGACUGAGCAAAGCAGGAGGAGCCUGGACACAUCCCAGACUGCUUCAGGCCUUUGUGGUCACCAGCAAUUAACACCCCAACAAAUGAGCUCAGGAAAUGCUCAGGAUCAGGUCUACAAAGAGUUGGGCCAAGCUGGACAAAAAAAAUGGGAGUCCUCUGGUGACAUAUGAAAAGGACUUUUAAAAAUAUCCUGGAACACUAAAUGAAACAAAAAUCCACAAACUCUAGAGAAGACUUACUUCUACAAAUAUAACUUUCCAGUGAGAAGUCACCUUUCCCUUCCUAAUUAGCAUCUCUGAAAAGAGCCCUGUAAACUCCGCCAAAUCCUGCACAGAACAGACACACUCACCUGUACAUUCAGUGUCACACACACUGCGCUGAAUCCAUCCUGGAUGCUCAGCACAGGGAUGGUGAGCAGAGCCUGCAGGCCAGCAAACAGCUGCUAACUCACAGCUUAAAUAAUCAGGGAGAGCUUUCACCAACAGCUCUGCAUGGGGGAAAACCUGCCUCCAAUCAUGUUUACAGCAAAACCCUCAUUCAGUUUCCCUGGCCUGGCAGGUUUUGAAUGUGGAGAGACUAAAAGUGGCUGGAAGGUCUGUGUCUCACAGGUGUGAUGCUGUGCUCAGUGAGGCUGCAGGGCUGGAAAGCUUCAAGGGAAACCUCCAGCCUCUGAACUGACCCACUGCUCACACUGCCAGCAAAGCAAGGCAAGGCACUGCAACUUCCACUGCUGGCAAGUGUGGGAUGUCAGGAGAAGAAUAAAGAACAAGAUUUGUAAUGUGAUGUCUUAUGAGAUAAAGAGCAAGGGAUUAGGUACCUGCAAGAGCAGAAGAAUGAGGCAGCAGGAGAUGAAAUACACGACACAAGUUUUAUCGAGAUCUCCAGGGUAUUACAGAUUUAUCAGCAGGUCCAUUACAGAAGCACAGGCACACCCAGGAAACCCAGUCAAUCAGGCCUUCAGCUGACUUCCACACACUGGCUGUGAUAAAGAUCCCACUCAAACACCAGGAAAAUCGAUCCUGAUUAGGGCACGAGGACAGGCAGCACUGCUGCCCAUGCUGCAGGGACCCAGUGUGGCCCAGGUACCUGUAGAUAUCCCAAGGCUGCCUCUCCCUCACUGUUUGGGGCCAUCAGCAGGUUCAGCAUCAGACAAAUCCACUUUUUUCACCAAAUCCACCAAUUUCCAACCUCACUGCUCACACCACUCCUAAUGCCCGAGAGCAGGAAUGGGGGAGCUUCACCUGAGCGAGGCAGAGGAACUCCUGACCUUUCAGGGUGUGACAAAUGCCAAACUCAGCUACAGUGGCAAAAGAAACUUGUCAGAGCCCUUCUUGGAGGGGAUGGCAGUACAGAGAUGGCAGCAGGGAGCAGAUGGAAAGGCCACUGUCCCCUCCAGCUGUGUGUCACUCUGCUGCCAGUGCCUGCUCUGCCAGGGAGCUGCCACAGCACACAGACACCGAAGGAGAAAGUCACCAAAAAACCCCAAACUUCCAAGCCCCAAAUUAAAAGUGGGCAGAUGAGCACUGAUACCACACCAGCCUUACCAGAGGAGGGAUUUAAGCCCACUCGAGAUCCAAAUAACCACUUGGUCACCCAAAUGAUCCCUAAAUCUACACCUGGGGCACCCACCCACCCCUGGGCACGCUGUGAGCACCUGCCCAGGGGAGAAGUGGAUGUGAGGGGUUUAAUUCCAGCCUGAGCUGCCCCUGGAGCCUCAGCAGCUCUUUGAACUGACCUUUACCUCGUUCUGCUGGAGCAGGACACGGGGCUGAGUGACAAUGUCCCACAGUGCAAUUACCACGCGUCAGAUGAGCAGGUCCCUUACAAAUCACCUCGAACUUUACACAUCUGCUGGCUGUCAGCAUCUGCCAGGUUCACUCACCCGAAAAUAAUGAAAAAAACUCUCAUUAUUGCUCCAUAACAGGUAAAGUGUUAGGACAAUUAUUGGACAUCCUCACUGACCUUGUGCAGACUUAGCCAACUGCCCUUGCCAACCUUUAUGGGCAGCCUUUGGGCACAUAAAACACAAAAUCUGUUCUUUCAGAUGAUGUAAAGGUUGUGACACCCAUAGGAAAAGCAAUGCUCCUGGAAUCCAGACUGGGAAUCAUCAAACUUAAAUUGACAUUAUCCUGCACAUGGCUGGAGCAGCUAAGGAAGAGGUGUAAGGCUAAACUUCAGAUUUCCCAUCUUUUCCCACUGUCUUUAGCAGUGAAUGUUUUUCCUAAGAUGGGAAUAGGAAAGUCCAGCCCACAGCCAGAGGUCCUGUGCAGAUGGGCAGUGGGGCAGGAAGCAAAACCCUGGAACAGGCAACAAACCUGAGCUUGGAGACAGUCCAACAUCAACUUCAAAGGGGUUUGGAAAUGUGCUACAUGAGAUUUCCAGAACGGGCUUUUUAUCCUGCUUUUGGUUUUUCAGAGUGCUUUGGGUUUUUUUUGAAAAAUUUAAAAGAAAGCAUGCUGAGCACUUUUGCUAUUUGACUCUUCUGCAUCAGUGGACAAAUAUGAGUGUGCUUCAGUGUAAACCUCUCAGCAUUCUGAUUCCUUGUCUCAAACACAGGGAACCAACAGCACCAAACCACAAAGUAAAAGCAGGACUUGUGUAGAAACACCAUCCUCCCACCUGGGCAGGGUUAAUGUUAGUGCCCUCUGCAAGGGCCAGGGUGUGGUGCUCCAGGUAAAACCUCUCCUGAUCUUGCAGGUUUUUCCCAGGAGAACCUCCCUGGGAGCACCACACACACCUGAGGAUCCAAAAGGGUUUUCUGGCUCAGAGCAAUAGCUCCUUCUGGGGUCCAGCUGUGGAAAUGCCUGGUGGGAGCAGAGCACAUUUGCUCUGCUUAAAAAGUGUCUUUUUGUCAAAAAAUGUGCUGUAUUUUCUCUGCAAAUCUGUAUUCCUGCCAUUCCAGCAAAGUCAUUAUUUCAGAAGCCUGAAGGCCAUAAGUGCCUUUGCCCAUCAUUACAUGGUACAAGCUUCUCCCAAUUCCAUGGAAAUACUGAAUUCCCGGGUGUUUUUUAACCUGGUGGGUGCAAUGGAAUCAGAAGACUGUGGAUAAAACUCCAGGAUUUUCCUUCUCUCUCCCAGUCCCCAAAACUUUCCGUUCCUCUGAUUUCUGCCAUCACAGCACAUCCAAACUGCUUCAAUCUUGCUGUCACAUCUCUGAUGCCACUUUUGCCCCCUGACCUCCUGGUGUUUCCCUUCCCUGAUGUCCUGUCAUGGGUCCUGAGUACAGCCAGGCUCAUUAAAGCCCUGGUUCUCUGGGGAUCCAACUUUCUGCUCCACGUAGCCCUGACAAAUCCUUACACGUGGCACUUUUUGGCCCCAGUCCCUCCUGCAUUCCUGAAACUCAUCUCUACAUCUGCCAUCUCCCCAGCGCCAUUUCCUCCCCAGCCCCAUAUGGCUCACCUCUCUCUAAAUAUAGAAGGGGAUAAUUUGGAGGCAAUCCAAAGGAGGGGCUGCAAAAGGGAUUAAAAAAUAGGAGGGCAUUACCUUUGCACAUGAGUAAAAGCAGAUUAAUAGGCACACAUGAAGGAGCCACAAGAAUGUUACUUAAGGGUGGACAAGGGUGAUAAAAGCAAGGGUACAGUCCUAAGAGUAAAGACUCUGGAAACACCACUUUGAGACAGUGUUUGACAGUAAAAACUGAAAAAAAACCCCAAUAAAUUGUAGCUCAAAGCAGACUUUAAACACCCACCAAUGCCUUUAUUUAGGUGUUUUGAUAAUUUAGAAUUUUUCAGAAGGAGAAAGAAAUCCUGGAAGUUUUAACACUAAAGCAAACACAAAGUCCUGAAUUCUCUACAAAGGCCAUUGAAUACAGCUGGAUACCAGAAUUACUGCACAAAUUAUCCAACACCAUAAAUCAUAAUCCACCUUCCUGAACAGCAGGGAAGACAAUUGAUUUGUAGGCAGCAAUAUGCCACAACAGUGAAAUCUAGAAUUCAGUAUUCACUAAAAGUAACAUGUGUUUCUGAAGGAAAUCUGCAGAAAGGAAGCACAAAGCAGAAUAAAAGAAAAAUCUCUCUGGUCCAUUAAGCUCAAUAACAAGAUGCAUCUAACACUGCAGAUUACCAAAUCAGCUUAAUGUAUUACACCUAAAAGAUUUUAACCACACUGCAAGUGGUUCAAUAAGUAAACUCUGGCAGACCUUAAAUAGCUGGUAAAUCUCCACUUUGGGAGCUGCCAAGGAAAAAAACAGAUUUUUGAGGAUUCAGUUAGCAUGAGCAGCUCUGCGAUAUAUUUGCAUUAAGUAAAAUAUUUUUAUGGACAACAUAGUGAAUGAUACUCCAAUAGCUUUUAUUCUGUGCAAAAAGGAGGGUACAUGAUCUUUAAAGAUGCUUCCAACCCAAACCAUUCUAUGAUUCUAUGAAGCUGCUAAUUACUCCAUUAAAAACUCAUUCAAAAACAAGUUAUCCUUGACAGGGUUGAAUCCUCACUUUGUGCACAAAGAGCACCCGUUUGUAAAGAAGGAAUUCUGUUUCUGAGACCCUGAGUGUUAAGGAUGUGUGAACUCCAAAAAUGCAAGCACUCAUGCAACUUGUGCACAAAGCGGGUGAGCACCCACAACUUCAGGGACACAAAUCUUUAUAAAGAAAUAAGGGACACUGCUGAUUAGGAAAGUAAAUAUGGGUUAGGAACACCCACUGCUCUCAGAAAACUGAGACCACAGCUAAUGUUACAGACUGGAGUGCAGCUGAGAGUCAAUUCCUGGAUCCCCUUCUGGCUCUGCCAGGGAACAGCCUGUGUUCCCACAUGACAAUGCAGAAUGCUUCAUUUGUUGUGUGUCUGCUGCUUCAGGAGGCAGUGACAUCUGGGUCACUGGGUUUCUUUGGGCAGAAAGUGCAAAGAGAGUGAAGUACAGACACAAAUUAACAGAUAUUUACACAAGGGUUUGUAUACUUUAUUGGAAGGUUUCUUUCUAGGAGAAACAACUGCUUUUCUAUGAAAUGUCCCGAAGGCACAGCAAGCCUUGGAACUCUGAAUAUCUGCACAGCCUGUGCUAAGCCACGUUAUCUGUGUGACAACAAAGAUUUCCUACUCCUCGUGGCACACACACUUCCAAAAGGCUCUUUGUGAGCUCCCAGCUCCUCUGAACCCCCACACCCUGAAUUGUUUUACAGUCCCAGUUCCGCUUGUUCUCCUCACAAUCUUCUCCUUGUGAGGCUCUCCAGGUAUUUUAUUUUAACAGGAGUGUCCAGCUGCUCCCCAGCCUCCCUGCUCCCCAGAUUUCCGCUGCCCUUUUCAAGGGCUCUGCAGAAAGCUGUGCUAACAGAUGCACCAUCCCAGCCCAACAACAGGAUGUUGUAAACCUCCAACUACUGUGUGCUUUUCAUAUGGAUAUGCUAAUGGACACACUAUCAGCACGCAGCUGUAAAUGCAAAUGCCAGAGCACAGGCUGAGCAUCUUUUAUGGGUGUUUAACCACCUUCUGUCUUGUAAGGGACCAGCUCCUGGCUAUUUGCAAGAUAAAAAGCAGCUAGCUCACCUCGUGUCAAUGCUGUGUAAAUCGAUUAAGACAAUAACAGCGCGGCACUGGGGCUCUGUUAGGGCUGGCUCCAGGAGAAGCCUUUAAGUCACCGAUGGCCCUUCUGAUCUCACCCAUGGGCUUUCUGAUCUGCUCCACAGCAUCUGCCAGGGAACUGAACAGCUGGGAAGAGGUGGGUGGGGUUUAUGUAACUUUUUCAAAACAACAAACUUGCCACAGCAAGUUAAACAAUCAAGAAACAUUAUGUCUUAAAAGUUUUAAAGGGAUAAAUUAUCUUAUUGAGCCACUUCUGGCUUUUUUAGCCAUCCACUGCUGCAAUAUCUCCACCUAAAGAUAACAACAACAGUCCCUGGAGAAUUCAGAGGCAUUCCUGGCUCCAGGAGUGCCAAUACCCUUCGGCAUAUGGGUGCCUGGCUGAGUCUGGACGAGUAGCAAGGAUCCAGAUUCACCUCAUCCCCUGCGCACAGGACACAAGCCCUGCUCAACAAACACUCCUGUGGUUCUCCUCGGUGCACACUGAAUCCUUCAGUAUUUCACAGGUGAGAUUUAUCAGGGCUGCAGGUACAUCAGCAAUAAACAAAGCACUCCCAGCUGUUACACUUAGUGUUUCACCACGGGUUACACCAAUUAUUGAUGCCUUGCUCAGGAGGGUCUCUACAGCACUGAAUGUCACCUUGCUCGGGGUGUUCCAGUGUCCAUCAGCUUCUCUGGCCAUGUUUCUGCUCCAUCUGACUGUACUGUUGGCUACAAACAAACAAACAAGAGGGAAGCAGCCAUCACAAAUAGAAACCAGGCCAAAUUCUGCUGGCAGAAAUUAGGCUGCUGCUCUCUCAAACACUAACUCAAAUAACUGCACAGCAGAAUUCAGCUGAAAACAAGAGAAAUAAUGUAGCAAAUGUAGUUUUAGGAGGUCAGGACACCUUCAGUCACAUGAAACCAAGGACAAAUUAGCAUGUUUACUUAUCAUUUUUAUUGGAAUGUACUGUAUGUUGUUACACUAAGUUAAUUGCUGUAAUGGGGAGGUGAUGUAGCAAGACAGUCUGAAAAGAACAGGUCAGCUGUUCUGCUGUAAGGGUCCUUAUCUGUACUCUGAGUUAUCAAAAUGGGAUUUAAGGUUUCUGCUGGACAUAUAUACAUGCUAAAAGAUGUCAGACAGCUGCUUUAGCAGAGGACCACAGCAAUUUGAAUUAGUUAUAAGGUUCCUCACUAUCUGCAAUUAUGGCUCUUUAAUUGAUUAAAAAAAGAAUUCAUUAAAAAGAGCUCCUUUUAGCUUUGAUCCAUCUGCUUGAAACCACCCAGCUGUACUGUGACGCAGACACAGAUAUUAAUGAGCAACUGGCAAUAGGAUAAUGAGUCAAUAAAGAGUUUAAAUGG